rnacentral:tRNA from 1 species
GGCCUCAUGGUGUAGCGGUGAGCACUUCAGAUUUAGAAUCCGGCAACCCGAGUUCGAAUCUUGGUGAGGCCC